CACGUAGGGUGCGAGCGUUGUCCGGAAUUAUUGGGCGUAAAGAGCUUGUAGGCGGUCUGUCGCGUCUGCUGUGAAAAUCCGGGGCUCAACCCCGGACUUGCAGUGGGUACAGGCAGACUAGAGUGUGGUAGGGGAGACUGGAAUUCCUGGUGUAGCGGUGAAAUGCGCAGAUAUCAGGAGGAACACCGAUGGCGAAGGCAGGUCUCUGGGCCACUACUGACGCUGAGAAGCGAAAGCAUGGGGAGCGAACAGG
rnacentral:rRNA from 1 species